GAUGAACGCUGGCGGCGUGCCUGAUACAUGCAAGUCGAGCGAACGGACGAGAAGCUUGCUUCUCUGAUGUUAGCGGCGGACGGGUGAGUAACACGUGGAUAACCUACCUAUAAGACUGGGAUAACUUCGGGAAACCGGAGCUAAUACCGGAUAAUAUUUUGAACCGCAUGGUUCAAAAGUGAAAGACGGUCUUGCUGUCACUUAUAGAUGGAUCCGCGCUGCAUUAGCUAGUUGGUAAGGUAACGGCUUACCAAGGCAACGAUGCAUAGCCGACCUGAGAGGGUGAUCGGCCACACUGGAACUGAGACACGGUCCAGACUCCUGCGGGAGGCAGCAGUAGGGAAUCUUCCGCAAAGGGCGAAAGCCUGACGGAGCAACGCCGCGUGAGUGAUGAAGGUCUUCGGAUCGUAAAACUCUGUUAUUAGGGAAGAACAUAUGUGUAAGUAACUGUGCACAUCUUGACGGUACCUAAUCAGAAAGCCACGGCUAACUACGUG
rnacentral:rRNA from 1 species